CCAAGAAUCAGUGAUUGAUCUUAACAAAGCGCCGAAGGCUGCAAAGAAACCAAGAACCAGAGGUCUAGGAAUUGAAAAAUUAUUGGCGCAGAGGUUUGGUAAUGAAGAUGGCAAUAAAACAGAUGACAUUAAUACACCAUGCACACAGGGAGCUACUCACAAGUCUCCAACUACUGCCGAUUGCAGGACUCCCGGUAGCACUGUAACCUACCAGACAAGUGUUCCUCAC